UGGGGAAUUUUUCGCAAUGAGCGCAAGCUUGACGAAGCAAUACCGCGUGAAGGAUGAAGGUCUAUGGAUUGUAAACUUCUUUUGUCAGAGAAGAAUUUAAUGACGGUAUCUGAAGAAUAAGUAUCGGCUAAUUCCGUGCCAGCAGCCGCGGUAAUACGGGGGAUGCGAGCGUUAUCCGGAUUUAUUGGGCGUAAAGGGUUUGUAGACGGUUUAGUAAGUUUUUUGUUAAAUAUUAAAGCUUAACUUUUGUGUUACAUUAAAUACUACUAGACUUGGGUAGAAUAGAGGUAAAGGGAAUUCUCAGUGUAGUAGUGAAAUAUGUUGAUAUUGGGAAGAACACCGAAGGCGAAAGCACUUUACUAGGUUUUUACCGACGUUGAGAAACGAAAGCUAGGGUAGC
rnacentral:rRNA from 1 species